rnacentral:rRNA from 1 species
UACGAGGGGGGCGAGCGUUGUUCGGAAUUAUUGGGCGUAAAGGGCGCGUAGGCGGUUUGACAGGUCUGAUGUGAAAUCUCUGGGCUCAACCCAGAGUCUGCAUUAGAAACUGUCGGGCUUGAGUAUGGGAGAGGUGAGUGGAAUUUCCGGUGUAGCGGUGAAAUGCGUAGAUAUCGGAAGGAACACCUGUGGCGAAAGCGGCUCACUGGACCAUAACUGACGCUGAGGCGCGAAAGCUAGGGGAGCAAACAGG